CCUACGGGAGGCAGCAGUGAGGAAUAUUGGUCAAUGGACGAGAGUCUGAACCAGCCAAGUAGCGUGAAGGAUGACUGCCCUAUGGGUUGUAAACUUCUUUUAUAAAGGAAUAAAACGAGGCACGUGUGCCUUUUUGCAUGUACUUUAUGAAUAAGGAUCGGCUAACUCCGUGCCAGCAGCCGCGGUAAUACGGAGGAUCCGAGCGUUAUCCGGAUUUAUUGGGUUUAAAGGGAGCGUAGAUGGGUUGUUAAGUCAGUUGUGAAAGUUUGCGGCUCAACCGUAAGAGUGCAAUUGAUACUGGCAGUCUUGAGUACAGUUGAGGUAGGCGGAAUUCGUGGUGUAGCGGUGAAAUGCUUAGAUAUCACGAAGAACCCCGAUUGCGAAGGCAGCUUACCAAACUGUGACUGACAUUGAUGCUCGAAAGUGUGGGUAUCAAACAGGAUUAGAUACCCGGGUAGUC
rnacentral:rRNA from 1 species